GCGAAGGCGUCUUGCUAGAACGGAUCCGACGGUGAGGGACGAAGCCCUGGGUCGCAAACGGGAUUAGAUACCCCGGUAGUCCAGGGUGUAAACGCUGCAGACUUGGUGUUGGAGGCCCUUCGGGGGCAUUCAGUGCCGGAGAGAAGUUGUUAAGUCUGCUACUUGGGGAGUACGUCCGCAAGGAUGAAACUUAAAGGAAUUGGCGGGGGAGCACCGCAACGGGAGGAGCGUGCGGUUUAAUUGGAUUCAACACCGGAAAACUCACCAAGGGCGACUGUUACAUGAAAGCCAGGCUAAUGACCUUGCUAGAUUUUCAGAGAGGUGGUGCAUGGCUGUCGUCAGUUCGUACCGUAAGGCGUUCUCUUAAGUGAGAUAACGAACGAGACCCUCACUGAUAAUUGCUACUCCAUCCUCUGGGGUGGAGGCACAUUAUUGGGACCGCUGGCGCUAAGUCAGAGGAAGGAGAGGUCAACGGUAGGUCAGUAUGCCCCGAAUCUCUUGGGCUACACGCGCGCUACAAAGGGCGGGACAAUGGGCUCCGACGCCGAAAGGCGAAGGUAAUCUCGAAACCCGUCCAUAGUUCGGAUUGAGGGUUGUAACUCACCCUCAUGAAGCUGGAUUCCGUAGUAAUCGCGAAUCAACAACUCGCGGUGAAUAUGCCCCUGCUCCUUGCACACACCGCCCGUCAAACCAUCCGAGUUGGGUUUCAGUGAGGUUGCCUCUAAUUAGGGUAUUCGAACUGAGAUUUAGCAAGGAAGGUUAAGUCGUAACAAGGUAUCU
rnacentral:rRNA from 1 species